rnacentral:rRNA from 1 species
GACCUCGGAUCAGGUAGGGAUACCCGCUGAACUUAAGCAUAUCAAUAAGCGGAGGAAAAGAAACCAACAGGGAUUGCCUCAGUAACGGCGAGUGAAGCGGCAACAGCUCAAAUUUGAAAUCUGCCUCUAGGCCGAGUUGUAAUUUGUAGAAGAUGCUUCGGGUGUGGCACUGGUCUAAGUUCCUUGGAACAGGACGUCAUAGAGGGUGAGAAUCCCGUACGUGACUGGCUGCCUUCGCCCGUGUGAAGCUCUUUCGACGAGUCGAGUUGUUUGGGAAUGCAGCUCAAAAUGGGUGGUAUAUUUCAUCUAAAGCUAAAUAUUGGCCAGAGACCGAUAGCGCACAAGUAGAGUGAUCGAAAGAUGAAAGGCACUUUGGAAAGAGAGUUAAACAGUACGUGAAAUUGUUGAAAGGGAAGCGCUUGCAACCAGACUUGCGCGCCGUCGAUCAUCCGAGGUUUUCCCCGGUGCACUCGGCGGUGCUCAGGCCAGCAUCGGUUUCGGUGGUUAGAUAAAGGCCUUGGGAAUGUGACNCCUCCGGGAGUGUUAUAGCCCUCGGUGCAAUGUAGCCUAUCGGGACCGAGGACCGCGCUUCGGCUAGGAUGCUGGCGUAAUGGUUGUAAGCGACC